UACGUAGGGGGCAAGCGUUGUCCGGAAUCAUUGGGCGUAAAGCGCGUGUAGGCGGCUUGAUAAGUCUGCUCUGAAAGCCCGGGGCUCAACCCCGGAACUGCAUCCGAUACUGCGUGGCUAGAGGUAGGUAGGGGGAGAUCGGAAUUCCUGGUGUAGCGGUGAAAUGCGCAGAUAUCAGGAGGAACACCGGUGGCGAAGGCGGAUCUCUGGGCCUUACCUGACGCUCAGGCACGAAAGCUAGGGGAGCGAACAGG
rnacentral:rRNA from 1 species